CCUGGGAUAACUUCCGGAAACGGAUGCUAAUACCGGAUACAUCAUUUUCUGGCAUCGGAGAAUGAGGAAAGACGGCGCAAGCUGUCACUGAGAGAUGGGCCUGCGGCGCAUUAGCUAGUUGGUGGGGUAAUGGCUCACCAAGGCGACGAUGCGUAGCCGACCUGAGAGGGUGAACGGCCACACUGGGA
rnacentral:rRNA from 1 species